UUAAUUUCUUUUUUUACCCUUUCUUAUUAUAAUGAGAAUCUAAACAAACAUUAUACUUCAAUGAAAUGCAUAUUAGGACACAUUGAACUAAACCAAAAACUCUUUCUAUAUUUAAAUCAUUAUUAGGUGUAUGUAAAAUAUAUGGAAGGGGUCCGCCAUCGUUUGUCUGAAAUUGUGGGUCUAGUGGAUUCAGACGCCAUCUCCCCUUAUAUCCCCUCCGCUGUGAUCUCAAUGUCGAUACAAUCAUACUUCAACUUCAUUCACUCCGGCUUUCAAUAAAAAUUUCACUCAAGCUCAUCAUAACUCUUUUGAUUUUCCUCUCAGUGCAUUGCGCAAACCUUGUAUAAAGGGUAAACUUCUCAUGGUUUUCAUUUUAUAAAAUGAAUAUUUCACUCGUUCUGCAUCAUGCACAAAUUUCCUACAUGGUCAGGUCAUUCUGUCCAUGUCCAUGGGGAUGUUCUUAUUAAAAUCGAAGUCAUACGCAAUAUCUAUAGAAACUUUGGAAAGUUAUUGGUCUUUGGAAAAUGGUUUCUCUUGGUAAAUGAUUUUUUGAGUUCAUGGUAGAAUUUUAUCUUUUAAAUUUUAAAUCGGUUAAAAUGUACAUUUUAAGUUGGUUAUGUGUCUGAGUUAACCGCAAACGACUUAAAAAACAUGUUUUUUAUCUCGUUUUAUAAACUGACUUAACAAAGCUUCCUCCUAUUAAGUCGAUUCAGCUUAACUAACUUAAACAUCAUAAAUUCAGUUCAACAAAUCAUCUUUUUCAGUUAGUUCUUUUGAUCAACUGACUUAAUAGAUAUAGUUAAAAUAAUAAUUAUUUUUUUAAUAAACUUCUCAUUUUGUUUUUAUGCUCUUGAUCAUACAUAUAUACAAUAUUUCGUAUUAAAUUUUAGAAGUUUUGUACUUGUAACUACAAUUUUAUAUAAUAAUCUAAUAACCAAAAUAUACAAUAUCAUAUGUUCAUACAAGAAAUAUAGAGCACAAAGAACAAGUCUCCCCAUUUCUAAAUAAUAACGACAACACAAAAAAAAAAAUAGUUGUCCAUUAACAAAAUUACAAAAUCACAAUGUAAAAAUAGUCAAUAACAUAUAUUAGUAUUGUCAUUUUCUUCAACUAAUUCCAAAAUAUCCACACGUUUUCGAACUUCUUUAAUUUGACUCGGAUGAAAUGAUCUCGAGUUAUCGAAUAUCUGAACAAAAAAAAAACACAAUCAAUAUCAGUUGAAUCUUAAUUUUUUUAUCAUACGAACAUUAAAAACUACAAUCAAUAGCAACUUAUAAUUUUUUAUCAGAUAAAUAUAAAAAAACACUAUCAAUAACAACUUGUAAAAAAUUACGUAUUUGCAUCUAU
rnacentral:lncRNA from 1 species